GCGCCGGUGGUGAAAGGCGUAGCAUACUUGCGCGUAAAGCAGAAGGUGCGGGUCCGAGUCCCGCCUGGCGCA
rnacentral:tRNA from 1 species